UUUGUAGACUUACUUGUUGAGAAGUUUGAGCUGUAGAAAUUACAUAGUUGGAAUAGGAAAUAAUUUAGUAUUAGUUGGUCUUACCUUUUGUAUAAUGGUUACACUAAAAUUAUACAAUAUUGUAGUUCCCGAAAUAAGAAGAACUAUCUGUUAACUUAUUUUAGUAAUAAAAGAAUUAUGUGGAAAUAUAAUUUUAAGAUUAAUAGCUAGGAGCGAAAAACUUUCAAUUCUUACGAUAUCUGGAAGUUUUAAAAAAGCAUUUAGUGCUGAGAAGUUAGUCAAGAAGCGAUGAGGUUUUUUGAGAAUAAAAUUGUAAAAUGGUAUGGUAAUUCUUUAUAAUUAAUCUUAAAGAGAUCUUUUUAUAAAAAUAUAUGGUUUUUAAAAAAUUUAUAUUCUAUAAAACUUUUCUAAAAAAUCUAAACUAGAAGAAAUAAUGUGUAGAUGAGUAAUAUAUUAAAAUAUCUUUUUUAUUUUGUUAUAAAGGUACGAUUUAAAGAAUUAUUUUUUAAAUUAGUUAAAAGGAACUCGGCAAAUAUGAACUUCGACUGUUUAACAAAAACAUAGCUUUAGGGACGGAUCUAAAGUUAUACCUGCCCAAUGUGUUUAUCAUAGCUUUAGGGACGGAUCUAAAGUUAUACCUGCCCAAUGUGUUUAUCAUGAAUGGCCGCGGUACUUUGACCGUGCUAAGGUAGCGCAAUCAAUUGGCCCUUAAUUGGGGUCAGGAAUGAAUGGAGUUACGGGGUACAGCUGUCUCUUUACUAAUUAUUUGAAGUUACUAUGUAAGUGAAAAAGCUUAUGUUGAGAAAAAGGACGAGAAGACCCUUAGAGUUUUACUUACUGUGAUGAUUAUAUUUAAGUUACUCAUAAUGGUUUAGUUGGGGCAACAUGGGAGCAAAGCAGUAAUUAACCUCCCAAAUAGGAUUAACCGAUAAUUUUAAAUUUGGAUAAACUACCUUAGGGAUAACAGCAUAAUUUUAGAAAUAAGUUUGUGACCUCGAUGUUGGACUAGGAAACUUAAAGGCUAGCCGUCUUUAAGGGAAGUUCUGUUCGAACUAUUAUUCCU
rnacentral:rRNA from 1 species